AUGAAGAACAGGGUGAAUGGACCCGCGGCAUAUUCAAUAUUAAAGCCUGAGACUAGUUCCGAUUCACCUUCUGUGAGGUCAAAGGGAGCUCGAGUGCUGGGAUUACAGGCCUUUAAAGACCUCGGCAAACUAAUGAUCAAGGCUAAGGAAAUGGUAGAGCUAUCAGAAUCAAUUGCUAAUAAAAUUAAAGACAAACAAGGUGACAUCACAGAAGAUGAGACUAUCAGGUUUAAAUCCUACUUGCUGAGCAUGGGAAUAGCUAACCCAGUUACCAGAGAAACCUACGGCUCAGGCACACAGUACCACAUGCAAUUGGCCAAACAGCUGGCUGGAAUAUUGCAGGUGCCUACAGAGGAACUAAGGGAAAUAAUGUACUCACGGAGGUUUACUCUCACCAGAAGAUUUAGUGAAUGCGUGCAAGAUGCUGGAAGCACUGAAAUUACCUCUCAGGCUCCGUGUGUUUGACAGUGGUGUCAUGGUAAUUGAGCUUCAGUCUCACAAGGAAGAGGAAAUUGUGGCCUCAGCCCUGGAGACACUUUCAGAAAAGGGAUCCCUAACAUCAGAAGAGUUUGCUAAGCUUGUGGGAAUGUCUGUCCUUCUAGCCAAAGAAAGGUUGCUGCUUGCAGAGAAGAUGGGCCAUCUUUGCCGUGAUGACUCAGUGGAAGGCCUGCGUUUUUACCCAAGUUUAUUUAUGACACAGAGCUAAGGGUUUUGUGUUUAAAAUCCUUUUUGUCCGUAUGCUUGCGUCAUGUAGAGGUUGUGUGACAUUGAGCUAAGAGAUAAACCCCGAUCAACUGAGAAUUU